GAGUUUGAUCGUGGCUCAGAAUCAACGCUGGCGGCAGGCCUAACACAUGCAAGUCGAGCGCGAAAGGCCUUCGGGCUGAGUAGAGCGGCGGACGGGUGAGUAACGCGUAGGAAUCUACCCAAUAGUGGGGGACAACCUGGGGAAACUCAGGCUAAUACCGCAUACGCCCUACGGGGGAAAGCGGGGGACCUUCGGGCCUCGUGCUAUUGGAUGAGCCUGCGUUGGAUUAGCUAGUUGGUAGGGUAAAGGCCUACCAAGGCGACGAUCCAUAACUGGUCUGAGAGGAUGAUCAGUCACACUGGAACUGAGACACGGUCCAGACUCCUACGGGAGGCAGCAGUGGGGAAUAUUGCGCAAUGGGCGAAAGCCUGACGCAGCCAUGCCGCGUGUGUGAAGAAGGCC
rnacentral:rRNA from 1 species